rnacentral:lncRNA from 1 species
AUGAGCCCACAGAAUGUUCCAGAAGGACCUACUCCCACUGGUCUGCAUCAGUCCCCGGGGGGCCUCAGCUCAGGUGCUGCUCCGGCCCAGAGGGAAACACUUUCUAGCAAACUCUUUCAGCUGUUUCUGCUCCAGCUCCCACCACCCUCCUUCCAGGAACGCCCCUUUCUAGAAGGAACUAUAGACGUGGGGCUAACGCGCUCCUGCCGAGAUGAAGGAGGCCUCGGUGGAAACUUUCCGUCUCUCCCGAGCCUUGACCACCACCCCCGCCCCCGGGGCGUCCGGAGAUGGGAGCGGCCCGCGAGCGCGGUCGCCAGGAAGACAGAGCCGGCCUAAGAAAGUAGGUAUUCUCAGAAAGUGGGUGUCUAACCCUAUCGUGACCCCACUCACUGCUGCCUACAGCCCUGGGUGGGGCCCCAGUGUUGGCAGCAAAAACAUCUGCCGUGUUUCCGAGGCACCCAGGCUGGGUGAGCAAGAAAGCACGCUCCUGAGUCACAGCUGGGAGGGACAAAGGAAGCGACGGAAGGGGUAAUCAAGACCAGCCGAGCGUUUAACUAAGACCUUCAUGAGUCCACUUGUCCCAGCUGCGCUUACGCCCCUGAUGGAAUAAUGGCUUUGCUCAGAGGGGUCACGUGGGCAGCUGUUGGGCCCAUUUCUCGGACCCCAACCUCCGAGUCCCUAGCGUGAAUUCUGCAGGCAAGAUUCCUGAGAACGUGCGGUGUAACAAGUGCACCGGUGAUCCAGUGACAAGCAGCUUGGGGGAACUCUAGUCUCCCUGGAGCCCUGUGGUGGAAUCCCAGAGCCAGGUAAAUUUGUUUACCUUCAACCAAGAGACACACAGGGUCUGGGUCUUUCGCCUUGACCUUGCAGUAGGCCUAGAACCCAGCCCAGGGAACACCCACUUUGGACGUAUGCUGAGGAAUCAGAUGGAAAGUGAAAAUCUGAUUUCCGUCCCAGAUGGCAGGCGGGAGGGAGGUCCCAGCUGAGACUCCUAACCCUUUUGUGCAGCCAGCCCGCCCUGAUGCCCUAAAUCCAGUUCCACCGCCUGGGGCAUCCAGACGGUGGCACCUUGCUCUGUGGGCCAGAGCUGGGCCACUACCCUGGUGAGGUCACCGCUUUGCAUCCCGAGGGCUCACGGGGAAGAUUGGAGUGCCUGGGACUUCCCGGCACAGGAAAGGGGAACCCCAGCAGGAGGCAUGGUAGUGGGCACACCUAAUCCUCAUCAGCCGGAUUCUGCGCCUCGCCCCGCCCACCCUGCGGCUCCGCCCCUGAGCAGAACCCAGGAAGUGAGUCUGCCCGCAGACCUCAAGACCAGUGAGCAUCUCCGCUCGGCUGGGGUGUCCUGGCUGCCAAGGUCAAGCCUGAAGAGAGUGAGGGGUGAGCCCUGGGCAUGGGCUUGACCUGCUGCGGCUCACGCUCAGGCCUCUCUCUUCUGCCUCCACGCACAGUGCUGGGAGCCCUCAGCCCCUUUGCAGUGUGUUGCGGGGGAGGUAGGGCGACGUGCUGUGACUUCCCACCCUGCGGUGUGUGUAUCAUCUUCUUGUAAUUCUUUGACCAGCUCUCCUGACAGCAGACAGGAAAACGGAGCUGGGGAAAGUGAGUGCAACGCAAUGCUUGCAUCAGUGCGAACCAUUAACUUACCACUAAUUGCCAAGACAGCUCCACAUCUGUGCCGUGGCCAGCUAGCUCACAACGGCCCCCUUGCAUGCAGUGAGUGACUCGCAGACUGCAGCCCAGAGGCCCAGUGGGAACACACCCUUCUGGGCCCCACUUGGAGUCUGAUUCAGCAGGUCUGCAGUGGCUACCCAGAAUUUUAACUUCCAUCACGCUCUCCAGGGGUGCCAGUGUGGCCGGCCUGUGCAAGGCUCUAAGGCACUGAUUUCCAAACAUGGUUAGAGUCCCACUCCCAAAGAUUCUGAUCCUUGGGAGGGGGUCUGCAAAUAUGCAUUGUUAAAAAAAGCCAGGUGUGUUUAUUUAGUGACAAAGAUGGCACUUCAGAUCAGAAAGGAGAUGGAAUGAUUUCUUCAGGUUCUAAGUGUUGGACGAAUUGGCUACCAUUUGAGAAAAAAUGGUCCAGCGCCCCGUCACACCGCACUAGAACAACAGUAAGAGAAAAAAAAAAAAAAAAGCUAUUAAGGUUAAAGAUCUUUGCAUUUGAAAAUGAAACUUGCAAAAAAAAUUUUUUUUUAGGGAUUUUGGAGCGGAGAAGUCUGCCUGGGGAAAUCAAAUCCACACUGCAGGGAUGCAGUUAAAAGUUUAAUGUCUCUGGGGUGCCUCGGUGGCUCAGUGGAUUAAGCCUCUGUCUUCAUGAUCAUGAUCUCAGGGUCCUGGGAUCAAAGCCAGAACCAGGAGCCUACUUCCCCCUCUCUGCCUGCCUAUCUGCCUACUUGUGAUCUCUCUGUGUCAAAUAAAUAAAAUCUUAAAAAAAAAAAUUUAAUAUCUCUAUCCAGGUGAGGGGGGUAUCUCCAAAUGCCUACAUCUAGUGUCUUUGUGAUUUUAAUUUUCCACUGUGUUGGAAAACUCCAGAGCACAUUUGCCCUCAUUAACUGCCCCGGGGGCAGCGUCCACCAUAGGUGGGCCAGCUUCGGCCAUUAGAGAACCAUCACCAUUUGUUGCUCGAAUGAUUUUCGGUGGCAGGCCACAGUUCAGGGGCCUUGUUGCGCUUGUGCAGACAGAAGAUUUAAAAAACUAAAAUAAAUCAUUAGAACAGAAGCUGUGACUCACUUAUUUCGGCAAAUCCAGCCCUUCUCUUUACCAGGCAACAGCCAAGCGGGACAGCAGCAAAUUUCCCAAGAUUAGUGCUUAUCCUUUCAGCCCUGGUUCAACUUCUCACUCAUCACCACGUGGAGCUGUAUGGGCUUUCCC